rnacentral:rRNA from 1 species
UACGUAGGGUGCAAGCGUUGUCCGGAAUUAUUGGGCGUAAAGAGCUCGUAGGCGGUUUGUCGCGUCUGCUGUGAAAAUCAGGGCUUAACCCUGGACCUGCAGUGGGUACGGGCAGACUAGAGUGCGGUAGGGGAGAUCGGAAUUCCUGGUGUAGCGGUGAAAUGCGGCAGAUAUCAGGAGGAACACCGGUGGCGAAGGCG